ACCUCACACACCCUGCUUCAGUACAACACACACCUCACACACCCUGCAUCAGUACAACACACACCUCACACACCCUGCUUCAGUACAACACACACUUCACACACCCUGCAUCAGUACAACACACACAGAAACUAUAAUCAACAGGUUCUGUACCUCCUAUGGACAGAAACUAUAAUCAACAGGUUCUGUACCUCCUAUGGACAGAAACUAUAAUCAACAGGUUCUCUACCUCCUAUGGACAGAAACUAUAAUCAACAGGUUCUCUACCUCCUAUGGACAGAAACUAUAAUCAACAGGUUCUGUACCUCCUAUGGACAGAAACUAUAAUCAACAGGUUCUCUACCUCCUAUGGACAGACACUAUAAUCAACAGGUUCUCUACCUCCUAUGGACAGACACUAUAAUCAACAGGUUCUCUACCUCCUAUGGACAGACACUAUAAUCAACAGGUUCUCUACCUCCUAUGGACAG